UACGUAGGCAGCAAGCGUUGUUCGGAGUUACUGGGCGUAAAGAGUGCGUAGGUGGUGCCCUAAGUCUGUUGUGAAAUCUCCCGGCUUAACUGGGAGGGUGCGGUGGAAACUGGGGUGCUUGAGUGUGGGAGAGGUAAGCGGAAUUCCUGGUGUAGCGGUGAAAUGCGUAGAGAUCGGGAGGAACACCAGUGGCGAAGGCGGCCCCCUGGGCCGCGCCUGACGCUGAGACGCGAAAGCGCGGGGAGCGAACGGG
rnacentral:rRNA from 1 species